rnacentral:misc_RNA from 1 species
CGAUGACCUAGCGGAUGAAAACUAAAGAACAAAGAACAUGUCCACGCACAAAAAUGACUGCACUCUAUAGGGGGAUACUUCUAGUGGGAGCGAGACUAUCAAGUCCUCCGUUCCAUGUGGCUGCCUCUCCUCAUUCUUCCCUCGCUCUCCCCGCUUUUAACAACCCACUCCUUGAAAAGAGAUCACUUUACUACUGCCACUGUCGCUACCUCAAGAAUCACUUUCCCUUGAUAUCAUCAUCGUUUUCGUCUUCACCCAUCAUGGCCCAGAUGGAAAGCUCCGCUGGGGUUUCUACAGCUCCAUCGUUUGAUAAUGGAGGGGAUAAUACCACUGUUUUUCCUUUGUCUUCUUCCACUGUUCUUAAAAUCAACAAAGGAGACAUCUCCAAGUGGUUUGUGGAUGGCUCCUCUGAUGCUAUUGUUAAUCC